rnacentral:lncRNA from 1 species
GAGGAUCAGUCGGGCUAAGACUACUUUCAUAAUGCUCUCUCCAUGUCCUGUGGUUGAAGUGGCACCAGAAGAGUUAUCAGCAUAACCUCCACUUCCUAUGCAUGCUGUGUCACCAACACGGCCAACCAAUUUAUUAGAGAGUCCUCCAGUGGAUGUUGCACAAGCUACAUUUCCUUCACUGUCUACAGCAACAGCACCGACUGUUCCCAGGUCUUUCUGGAACUCCACAGGGUUGGAAUCCGGCUCAAGGUUCUUCUUCCAUCUCUCCCGAGAUCUCUCAGUUAUGAGUUUCUCCCCUGGAAUCUCAGGAACACCCAUAGCUUGAGCAAAGAGU